GAUGAACGCUGGCGGCGUGCUUAACACAUGCAAGUCGAACGGGAAUUAUGUUAUUGAAACUUCGGUCGAUUUAAUUUAAUUCUAGUGGCGGACGGGUGAGUAACGCGUGGGUAACCUGCCUUAUACAGGGGGAUAACAGUCAGAAAUGGCUGCUAAUACCGCAUAAGCGCACAUCGCUGCAUGGCUCCGUGUGAAAAACUCCGGUGGUAUAAGAUGGACCCGCGUUGGAGUAGCUGGUUGGUGUGGUCACGGCCCACCAAGGCGACGAGCCAUAGCCGGCAGGAGAGGGUGAACGGCAACAGUGGGGCGGAGACACGGCCCAGACUCCGACGGGAGGCAGCAGUGGGGAAUAUUGCACAAUGGGGGAAGUCCUGAUGCAGCGACGCGGCGUGAAGGAAGAAGUAUCUCGGUAUGUAAACUUCUAUCAGCAGGGAAGAUAGUGACGGUACCUGACUAAGAAGCCCCGGCUAACUACGUG
rnacentral:rRNA from 1 species